rnacentral:misc_RNA from 1 species
GUAGGUGAACCUGCGGAAGGAUCAUUAAUGAAAGUCUGGGCUUCGGCCCUCUCUCUUCUACACACUUGUGAAUCUACACUGUUGCUUUGGCAGGUAUCCUGAAUGGCGCAAGCUUGAAAGGUUAAACUGAAAGGUGCCUGCCAAAGACAUUUAUCCACCCUUUUUAUAUCGUCUGAUUUUUGUUUAAAACAAAUUAUAAUAAAACUUUCAACAAUGGAUCUCUUGGCUCUGGCAUCGAUGAAGAACGCAG